CCACCCUAUUAGUAACCUCCUUUAUUGCACCUGUUCAGUCUCCCUUACGUCUACAAGGAUAACGACUGCUUUGUUUGUUUUUGUGGGCAGUGAAAGAUAAAAAUCUAACUACAACCAACAACCCUAAUCAAUCUUCCUGUCAUGUUUGGUCUCAACUUCUCCAAAAGCCUUCCAAAAAAAGAACAAACAUUGUUCAGCAGCAAAAAACCAAAUCCUGUAACGCCACCGUCCAGCCCGUCCAGGAGAAAGCACAGAUUUUGAAUGAUCAGAAACAAAAUCAACAGUAGGCACUUCUUGAUAGUGUGGCAGGUGUUUCCGUCAACAAAAUAAUUUAGGCUUCCCAGAGAACGCCCCUUUACGUUCACCCUAAGUAGAAUUGCAUUGAUGUUCACUGACAUGGACUUAUAAACUUUGCUAGCACAUUAUACAACGACGAGGACCACAAAAGUACAAAACAUCUGACUGUACAUAUCUGUCUACGAGCCUCUAAACAAAGUACAUCUACAUAUACAAGAAGGACCGGUUCUACCGUGCCCGAAUAUGUACACAAAAGUAGUACCAAUAAACUGAGGCUCCGGAACAACUGGAGCGCUGCCACAGUACUGCUGAUGGAGCUUCUAAGAGUCAAAUCUGUCUACCUGUUGACCUGCGCGGCAUGAAACGCAGCGUCCACAAGAAGGGACGUCAGUACGAGUAAUGUACCGAGUAUGUAAGGCAUGAAUAAUAACAUAAAAGAGAUAUAACGCAUGUCAUGAAGUAGAAACACAACCUGUACAUAUAAGGGCACGUUGGCGGAUACCAUGCAUGCUUAGCGCUGCGGAACGUGCAGCCCGAUCCAUAUGUGCAUAUACUAUAACGUAUUGCUGCGGCACGUGCAGCCCGAUCCAUAUACAUAUAAUACUUUGCUUUCUUGGAAAACAUUUCUUUUCAUAUAUAUAUAACAUAGAACAUAUCAUA